rnacentral:rRNA from 1 species
GCUCAGAACGAACGCUGGCGGCGUGGCUAAGACAUGCAAGUCGUACGGACCUCAGUAGCAAUAUUGAGGUUAGUGGCGAAAGGGUGAGUAAUGGAUGGGUAACGUACCCUGGACUCGGGGAUAACAGCGCCCGCAAGGGCUUUAGCGAAAGUGCUGCUAAUACCCGAUGACAUCGCGAAGUCGCAUGGUUUUGCGAUCAAAGCCGGGGACCCGCAAGGGCCUGGCGGUCUUGGAGCGGCCCAUCUCCUAUCAGCUAGUUGGUGAGGUAACGGCUCACCAAGGCUUCGACGGGUAGCCGGACUGAGAGGUUGGCCGGCCACAUCGGGACUGAGACACUGCCCGGACACCUACGGGUGGCUGCAGUAACGAAUAUUGGGCAAUGGGCGCAAGCCUGACCCAGCGACGCCGCGUGCAGGAGGAAGUCCUUCGGGAUGUAAACUGCUGUCAGGGGCUAGCAAGCAAAGGGUGUUAACAGCAUCCGGCGUUGGGCCGCCCCAGAGGAAGCCACGACUAACUCUGUGCCAGCAGUCGCGGUAAGACAGAGGUGGCAAGCGUUGUUCGGAAUCACUGGGCUUAAAGCGCGUGUAGGCGGCUCGGAAAGUGUCGUGUGAAAGCCCCUGGCUCAACCAGGGAACUGCGCGGCAAACUCCCGGGCUUGAGGCUGGUAGAGGUGCCUGGAACUCUCGGUGGAGCGGUGAAAUGCGUAGAUAUCGAGAGGAACGCCGGAGGCGAAAGCGGGGCACUGGGCCAGAUCUGACGCUGAGACGCGAAAGCGUGGGGAGCAAACAGGAUUAGAUACCCUGGUAGUCCACGCCGUAAACGAUGCACACUAGACGUCGGACCCUCUGACGGGACCGGCGUCGUAGCAAAAGUCAUAAGUGUGCCGCCUGGGGAGUACGGCCCGCAGGCUAAACUCAAA